rnacentral:misc_RNA from 1 species
CGGAUACCUGCUUUCAGUUGAUAAGUUAUCCAGAUUGGUGGGGAAAUAAACCUCGCUCUAGUACUACAGGAUGAGGAAGUGGGUGUAAGCGUAAUGGUGGAGGAGGAGGUGACAAAUGUGGUGACCCAUGAGCAAACAUCACAUAGACAUUGGCAGCAGAGGAUGGUCGUAGAGGUGUCACAGAUUCUGACAGGAAGGGGCUUAAUGGCUUGAAUGACGAACAAUAGAGCACCUUACUGGGAAUUUUGAGUUCGCAGAGGACUGUACCAAAUGAAAGGUUGACUGGUAAGCAAGGAAUUUUGCCUUGGAUAAUAGAUUCAGGAGCU